rnacentral:rRNA from 1 species
UAGUGAGUUUGAUCCUGGCUCAGAACGAACGCUGGCUGCAUGCCUAACACAUGCAAGUCGAACGAGACCUUCGGGUCUAGUGGCGCACGGGUGCGUAACGCGUGGGAAUCUGCCCUUGGGUUCGGAAUAACAGUUAGAAAUGACUGCUAAUACCGGAUGAUGACUUCGGUCCAAAGAUUUAUCGCCCAAGGAUGAGCCCGCGUAGGAUUAGCUAGUUGGUGAGGUAAAGGCUCACCAAGGCGACGAUCCUUAGCUGGUCUGAGAGGAUGAUCAGCCACACUGGGACUGAGACACGGCCAGACUCUACGGGAGCAGCAGUGGGGAAUUUUCCGCAAUGGACGAAAGUCUGAUGGA